GUUUGGAUAGGGUUUAAUAGUCUCCACCAAAAUGUAUGUUGAAAUUGGAUCCCCAAUGUGGUGGUGUUGGGCCUAAUGGGAUGUCUGGGUCAUGAGGGUGGAUUCCUCAUGAAUUGACGAAGAUCCAAAGCUAUGUAGCUGGUUUCAUCCAUACGCAGAAUACAGGGUUUCCUUCUUUACUGCACUGACACAGAGUAUACCAAUUCCUGG
rnacentral:lncRNA from 1 species